AAUAAACACGUGAAAUAAUUCACAAAAAAAUAUUCGAAUAAUUUAAAUUAAAGUGACCCCUCCAUGUGGCCUAUGCUUUAGGUUUGUAACUUCAUGCCGAACCACUAUCCAUGAGGAAAAUCUUAGACAAAACGAAGUAAGAUUAAUUAGUUACCUGGAUCUGAUCACCGAUGUUGACAAUAAAAGCAUGAGGGCUUGGCUUCACUGUGAUCCAGCUAUCGUUCUUUCGGACUUGAAGUCCGGCAACAUGUUGGUCCGGAAGAAGAAAGGUGAUCCCUCCGGGAUCCGAGUGAGACGAGAGCCCUAAGGUCAAAUCAGGCUGGGGACAUUUUGGAUAAAAAUUCACUCUCAAACAAGCUCCAAUGUCCUCUCCUCCAAAAGCAUUUUGAAGAUGAUUCUCGCUCAAUCCGAGAUUUAUAGAUAAAACCUUCAUUAGUUCACCACCGAAUUUCACUACUUGCCUCGAGUACUCGGCAACCACUUCCCUACAAUAAUCACAAUAUCUUAUAUCAUUCUUGAUUAUUCACAUCAUUUCCAUAGAUUUUGUGAAACUUAAUUUAUUAUAAGCCUGAGACGAAUCUCAACCUUAUCACACUUAUUAAUCAACGCACAAUUUUCUUAAAAAAACUGACGUCAAUAACUCAACGUGUAUAUCUGANCAAGCAAAACAUCAUAAUUAAGAGACCAAUAAUAUAUUUGAUAUUUGCGCGGUUCAAUUUACCAUAGUUUCUUUAUUUUGAAUAUGAUGUUAAUUACUGAAUCCUUUGAGUGUACAAUUAAAAUUAUUAUUUUCUAAUUUUUCAAUAAAAAUAUAUGGUUCGUAUUAUAAGUCAGAAGACAAAAUUUUUUAAAAAUAACAAUUUAACUAAAUGAUCAAACGACUUAGAAAUAUAUUUCAAAAAAUCACGCGACCUAUAUUUUUAAAAUCUAGGGAGUAGUUCGAAGAAGUACCAUAUUUAAUUUAAUAUACUUUAUCUAGGGUUUAGUAUAUUAAACUUUGAGAUGCAUGAUCUAGAAAAUCUAAGAAAAGGCCACCAGUCCGGCUCUUUAAUUAUACUUAACUAUAAAGGCAUAAAUGGUUUUUCUCAUCCAUAAGCUGCGUACCUGAAUUUUGACUCCACGAAGCUAGAUUCAAAAACGUAAAAGGGGGAAAUAAACACGUGAAAUAAUUCACAAAAAAAUAUUCGAAUAAUUUAAAUUAAAGUGACCCCUCCAUGUGGCCUAUGCUUUAGGUUUGUAACUUCAUGCCGAACCACUAUCCAUGAGGAAAAUCUUAGACAAAACGAAGUAAGAUUAAUUAGUUACCUGGAUCUGAUCACCGAUGUUGACAAUAAAAGCAUGAGGGCUUGGCUUCACUGUGAUCCAGCUAUCGUUCUUUCGGACUUGAAGUCCGGCAACAUGUUGGUCCGGAAGAAGAAAGGUGAUCCCUCCGGGAUCCGAGUGAGACGAGAGCCCUAAGGUCAAAUCAGGCUGGGGACAUUUUGGAUAAAAAUUCACUCUCAAACAAGCUCCAAUGUCCUCUCCUCCAAAAGCAUUUUGAAGAUGAUUCUCGCUCAAUCCGAGAUUUAUAGAUAAAACCUUC
rnacentral:lncRNA from 1 species